rnacentral:rRNA from 1 species
CCCUUAGAUGUCCGGGGCCGCACGCGCGCUACACUGAAGGAAUCAGCGUGGCUUUCUCCCUGACCCGAAAGGGUUGGGAAACCCGUUGAAUCUCCUUCGUGAUAGGGAUUGGGGCUUGAAAUUGUUCCCCAUGAACGAGGAAUUUCCAGUAAGCGCGAGUCAUAAGCUCGCGUUGAUUACGUCCCUGCCCUUUGUACACACCGCCCGUCGCUACUACCGAUUGAACGGUUUAGUGAGGGCCUCGGAUUGGUCUCGGCCCGCUCUUUACCGGGCGGCGCCGUUGGUCGAGAAGACGCUCGAACUUGAUCGUUUAGAGGAAGUAAAAGUCGUAACA